rnacentral:rRNA from 1 species
GACGAACGCUGGCGGCGUGCUUAACACAUGCAAGUCGAACGCUGAAGCUCAGCUUUUGUUGGGUGGAUGAGUGGCGAACGGGUGAGUAACACGUGAGUAACCUGCCCCCUUCUUUGGGAUAACGCCCGGAAACGGGUGCUAAUACUGGAUAUUCACUGGUCUUCGCAUGGGGGUUGGUGGAAAGGGUUUUUCUGGCGGGGGAUGGGCUCGCGGCCUAUCAGCUUGUUGGUGGGGUGAUGGCCUACCAAGGCUUUGACGGGUAGCCGGCCUGAGAGGGUGACCGGUCACAUUGGGACUGAGAUACGGCCCAGACUCCUACGGGGGGCAGCAGUGGGGAAUAUUGCACAAUGGGCGCAAGCCUGAUGCAGCGACGCCGCGUGAGGGAUGGAGGCCUUCGGGUUGUGAACCUCUUUCGCUCAUGGUCAAGCCGCAACAAUGGUUGUGGUGAGGGUAGUGGGUAAAGAAGCGCCGGCUAACUACGUG